rnacentral:SRP_RNA from 1 species
UGUUAGUGUUUUAAUGCUGUAAUCUUAAAAAACUGGUCAGGAUCGGAAGAUAGCAGCCAUAUUAAGUAAUUCAGGUAUUAUAAUUUUACUAACAGAG